AGCAGCCGCGGUAAUUCCAGCUCCAAUAGCGUAUAUUAAAGUUGUUGCAGUUAAAAAGCUCGUAGUUGAACUUCAGGAUCAAGGAAUCGGUCAUGCCUUGGUAUGUACUGGUUUUAUUGGUUCUCACCUUCUAAAGAACCAUAAUGUCAUUCAUUUGAUGUUAUGGGGAAUUAGGACUGUUACCUUGAAAAAAUUAGAGUGUUUAAAGCAGGCUUACGCUUGAAUACAUUAGCAUGGAAUAAUGGAAUAGGACGUUCGAUCCUAUUUUGUUGGUUUCUAGGAUUGACGUAAUGAUUAAUAGGGAUAGUUGGGGGCAUUAGUAUUCAAUUGUCAGAGGUGAAAUUCUUGGAUUUAUUGAAGACUAACUACUGCGAAAGCAUUUGCCAAGGAUGUUUUCAUUAAUCAAGAACGAAAGUUAGGGGAUCGAAGACGAUCAGAUACCGUCGUAGU
rnacentral:rRNA from 1 species